rnacentral:sRNA from 1 species
UAGGAGAAGGAAGAUAAAAUUCCUAUUUCCACAGAACGAGUACAGCACAUGCAGGGACAAUGGCAGCUUCCCCACAUUCUCCUGCUAAUGUACCUAAAGCCUGACCUGGAGGUAUGACCUUUACAAACGAGAGGGUUCAGUCUUCAUAUCCAUUCAGUUUGUGGUCUUU